rnacentral:lncRNA from 1 species
AAUCAUUCCAGGGAUUAUCUAUAUUAAAAAUAAGCUGAGAGUUGUCUGAAUUUUUUUUUAUAAAGGAUAAAUACUGUACUCAUUUUAUGUUGUCAAAAUAGCUCUGGAAACCCCCUC